CUGAAGCAUUUGAAUGUCAAAGAAGUUUUGUCUGUUACAGCGGGUGUAGUCGAGUCACUAGUCUCUUGCCAUCGAGAAAAUCAGUCCAGCUAAAAUCCAGCAAGGUUUGUAUAUCGAAGAGGAAAGAGUCUUGCUCCAAGAAGAUUUUCCGGGUGACUAUAAUAGCUUUGGUUGCUGUUAUGGCACUAUGUGCUUUGACAAUAUCGACCCUUUAUGUACUUAGCAUCCAUGACAAAUAUCUUGAGAAACAUGUUGUUUCCAGGCAAGUAGUUGAACAAGUGCUAGAAUUAAUAUUGGACUGUGGACCGAUCUGUGGUCCACUGUGAGGACCAUUUCUUAAUGAAUUGUUUUUCUUUUUCUCCAUCAGCAAUACCUCAAGUUCUGUUGUACUCUUUCCCUCUACCACUACAGCAGGUACUGUAUCUUUGCCAGUCUGCAUGCAAAUAAAAGACUGUUAUAUAUUCCA
rnacentral:lncRNA from 1 species